GCACAUUGUAAGAGCUGUAAAGAGAGAGGGAGUGGAGAGAGAACAGGCAGAACCUGAUAUGUAAAUGAGCAGAGCAAACGAAAGUAACUUUCGAAGACCGAAUGAUCAUUCCAGACUCUGUUUCUAUUGAGAGAGAGAUAAAAGGCUGGUUGAAUGAGUUGCCUAUGAAAGCUACUUCAUCUGCAAGAAAACAGGCAGCUGCACCAGUGACUGGGUCAGUGCUGUAAAAUGAAUCUCUCUGAGGAGAGAGAGGAGGGGGGCCCUGCCUCUAAAAAGCGUCUCUCUGGGGGACAUGACACCAAAGCUAAGAGGUAAGAUGACAAUUUUAUGAAGAAUUUAUUAUGUUUAUUUCAAAAUAAAUAGCUAUCUUAAGAUGAAUGCAGUUACUGUAAUUCUCUCUGGAUAAGAGCAUCUGCUAAAUCAGGGGUUCUCAAUCCGGGGUCUGUGGAGGUACUGCAGGGGUUCCACGGCACCCUGACUGUACUCGUUGCAAUGUAAGACAUUUGAUAGAAUUUCCACAUGAC